UACGUAGGGCGCAAGCGUUAUCCGGAAUUAUUGGGCGUAAAGAGCUCGUAGGCGGUUUGUCGCGUCUGCCGUGAAAGUCCGGGGCUCAACUCCGGAUCUGCGGUGGGUACGGGCAGACUAGAGUGAUGUAGGGGAGACUGGAAUUCCUGGUGUAGCGGUGAAAUGCGCAGAUAUCAGGAGGAACACCGAUGGCGAAGGCAGGUCUCUGGGCCAUUACUGACGCUGAGGAGCGAAAGCAUGGGGAGCGAACAGG
rnacentral:rRNA from 1 species